GCCCUGGUAGCUCAAUUGGUUAGAGCGUCGGACUUUUAUCGGCAUUGCCCUGAAAAGCGCCAUCCGGAAAGGCAUCCGAAGGCUGCGGGUUCGACCCCCGCCUGGGGCG